AGCGAACGCUGGCAGCAGGCCUAACACAUGCAAGUCGAACGAAGUCUUCGGACUUAGUGGCGGACGGGUGAGUAACACGUGGGAACGUGCCUUUAGGUUCGGAAUAACUCAGGGAAACUUGUUCCAAUACCGAAUGUGCCCUUCGGGGGAAAGAUUUAUCGCCUUUAGAGCGGCCCGCGUCUGAUUAGCUAGUUGGUGAGGUAAAGGCUCACCAAGGCUACGAUCAGUAGCUGGUCUGAGAGGAUGACCAGCCACAUUGGGACUGAGACACGGCCCAAACUCCUACGGGAGGCAGCAGUGGGGAAUCUUGCGCAAUGGGCGAAAGCCUGACGCAGCCAUGCCGCGUGGAUGAUGAAGGUCUUAGGAUUGUAAAAUCCUUUCACCGGUGAAGAUAAUGACUGUAGCCGGAGAAGAAGCCCCGGCUAACUUCGCGCCAGCCGCCGCAGUAACAC
rnacentral:rRNA from 1 species